CUGUAAGACUGGGAUAACUCCGGGAAACCGGGGCUAAUACCGGAUGGUUGUUUGAACCGCAUGGUUCAAACAUAAAAGGUGGCUUCGGCUACCACUUACAGAUGGACCCGCGGCGCAUUAGCUAGUUGGUGAGGUAACGGCUCACCAAGGCGACGAUGCGUAGCCGACCUGAGAGGGUGAUCGGCCACACUGGGACUGAGACACGGCCCAGACUCCUACGGGAGGCAGCAGUAGGGAAUCUUCCGCAAUGGACGAAAGUCUGACGGAGCAACGCCGCGUGAGUGAUGAAGGUUUUCGGAUCGUAAAGCUCUGUUGUUAGGGAAGAACAAGUACCGUUCGAAUAGGGCGGUACCUUGACGGUACCUAACCAGAAAGCCACGGCUAACUACGUGCCAGCAGCCGCGGUAAUACGUAGGUGGCAAGCGUUGUCCGGAAUUAUUGGGCGUAAAGGGCUCGCAGGCGGUUUCUUAAGUCUGAUGUGAAAGCCCCCGGCUCAACCGGGGAGGGUCAUUGGAAACUGGGGAACUUGAGUGCAGAAGAGGAGAGUGGAAUUCCACGUGUAGCGGUGAAAUGCGUAGAGAUGUGGAGGAACACCAGUGGCGAAGGCGACUCUCUGGUCUGUAACUGACGCUGAGGAGCGAAAGCGUGGGGAGCGAACAGGAUUAGAUACCCUGGUAGUCCACGCCGUAAACGAUGAGUGCUAAGUGUUAGGGGGUUUCCGCCCCUUAGUGCUGCAGCUAACGCAUUAAGCACUCCGCCUGGGGAGUACGGUCGCAAGACUGAAACUCAAAGGAAUUGA
rnacentral:rRNA from 1 species